UUGGUGGCUAUAGCAAAAAUGAACCACCCGAUCUCAUCUCGAACUCGGAAGUGAAACUUUUUAGCGCUGAUGGUACUUGAAAAGGGAGAGUAGGUCGCCGCCAAGUUUAUA
rnacentral:rRNA from 1 species